UACGUAGGGGGCAAGCGUUGUCCGGAUUUAUUGGGCGUAAAGAGCGUGUAGGCGGCCAGGUAGGUCUGCUGUGAAAACUCGAGGCUUAACCUCGAGAUGUCGGCGGAAACCAUCUGGCUAGAGUCCGGAAGAGGAGAAUGGAAUUCCCGGUGUAGCGGUGAAAUGCGCAGAUAUCGGGAAGAACACCCGUGGCGAAGGCGGUUCUCUGGGCCACUACUGACGCUGAGAAGCGAAAGCAUGGGGAGCGAACAGG
rnacentral:rRNA from 1 species